ensembl:lncRNA
UCUUAUGUGAACCCUAUAGCGGCAGCACGGGCCAAGGGACCCGCACCCAACGCUGGGCCGUCUAUUCAGGAUUAUCUUAGCAGACCACGGCCCACAUGGGAAGAGGUGAAGGAGAUAAUCGAGAAGAAGAAGAAAGGCUCUAGAGCACUCGCAGACUUUGAGGAUCAAAUGAACGAGAAUUGGAAGAAGGAGCUGGCUAAAAACAGAGAGAAACUGCUAGCUGGAGGUGACAAAGACAAAGAGAAAGAGGAGAAGGAGAAGAAAGACAAGGAGAAGAGGGAGAAGGAGAAGAAGGACAAGGAGAAGAAGGAGAAGAGAGAGGUUGGAUUCCGCGCAUGUUAGACGCAUAUUUUAUUUUAAACAACCGUGUGUGUGCUGCCUCUCGUGCCAACUCUUGUUUUAUGUUUAGAAAAAGAAGAGAGAGCGCGAAAAGAAGGAAAAGGGAAAGAAGUCCAACAGGGUGAGGAAAACUGUCUCUGAUGUGGUGUUGAAGCCUGGCAGGAAGGGGGUCCGGUGGUGGUGCCGGUCCUACAACAAUGAGAAACCUUCACCAGUGUAUUCCUGUGUCAGUUGCUGUAUUCAAAUCUAAUGAGCUUUGCUUUUUUUUUAUUGUGUUUGGUCAAGCAUUCCUCAUCUUCCUCCUCUUCAUCGAGUUCUGAUUCCUCCAGCAGCUCUUCAUCCGACUCUGAAGACGAGAAUGAAAAGAAGAGUGUCAAAAAGAAACGGAGAAAGAAGCGUGCGUCCUUCAAGAAAGCAUCAGAUGACUCCACUGUAGAAUCGGAGCCUGACAACAAGGUCUCCUUCCCUCUCAUUAUGUUUCUCUCCAAGAAGACGAAGAUGGAGAUGGAGACGAAGAAGAAGAAAUAUGAGGAAAAAGAGAAGGAGGAAAAGAGCCACAGGAGAAAGAGGAAAACCGAGCGAAGUCACAAGGACUCCUCAUCAGAGACGUCUGCUGAAUCUGAAUUGGAAGAAGGUGGCGAACCCAGGAAGAAAAAGAGAAGUAGCGAGGAGAAGGACCGGGAGAAAAUAACCACAGUAAGUGGUUUAAAGUCAAAGCAUUUUCUUACUGCACUCUGUGCAUGCAGCUGAUAAAAAAUAAUAAAGAAUACCGCCUAAUGUUACAUUUAAAUAUGCUCCGGUGCUUAUUAAUUUAAUGUUUUCGUGGGCCUAUUAAAAUAUUUUCAGAUCUUUUGUUAUAUCAUUAUAAUAACUAGAACCUGUGGCCCAUGCUGUAUGCACUCCAACUCGGCCGCUUGGCGAUUAGUGUUUUCCACCCUGACAUAGUUUUUCUGUUCUCAAGUAAAUGCACAUGCUCAUGCCACUGACUUAUAACUGCUAGCAUCCUAUUGUAUUUGCCAGCCUUGUUUAUUAUUAUUAUUGUUAUUAUAUGUCAGGUUCCCGCCGUGAAAAAUGUGUUCAAAUUCCUGUGAAGUGGUAAGGUGUAGAAAGGUGCAUUUUUGCCGAAAUGUAAAUAGCACUGCCAUGCUAAUUGGCCACAUGGUCACAUUAUAACGAGCAAUAUGCUGGGAAAUGUUUCCUAAAGCUCACACCCAUCACCCCAUGCGACAGAGAGUGGUAACAUUUGUGACACAGUUCUGCCUCCACAUAUUGAAUCAUUUAGGCUGUAAGACUCCCAAUGCGCCAUUUUCGAAUACAGCUAAAUGCCUACUCUGGGAGGGCAUGACCAGUCUGCGCAUAACUUGACCUGUUGCGUAACUUGACCUGUUGGAACAUCAAAAACCUGGCCACUACUGACUAGUGAAUUUUCAUUUUGGGGGGGGGGGGGGGGGGGGGGGGGGGGGGGGUCGUCUUAUACAACUGUUUAUAGAUAUUUGAAUAUUAUCUAUGUAAGCACACGUUAUAGACAUUUGGACAUCUUAUUAAGAAAAUUUGCGCAUUGGAGGAGGUAUCGGAAAUAUGCAGCAGAAUGCGUUGUCGCUGGUUUUACGCUGGUGCAUGAUUUUGAUCCCGUUUGGCCCUCUUGAUUUGUUUUGAGAGCUGUUCAUCUGAUGAGAACAAUCAACGGUACAAGGUUUUUCCCCUUUUCUGAAUGUGUAAGAAAAGUUAGUAUUGUUACCAGGCAUUGUGUUUUUACCCAAGGUCUGGCAACGCGGCACUAGCUAAACACUAGCCUGGUUCUGUUUGGCAGCGCUGUACUGGAAAAUCUUUGUGCAAUCUCAUAUGCUAAUAGCAGCCACAUCGUUUUAGCUAGAAACCUGAAAAAUAAAAUACAACGUGCACUCCAAAAACAAAGAAUACGGACCCUACACCCUCAGCCCCUAAACCCUACACCCUCAGCCCCUAAACCCUACACCCUCAGCCCCUAAACCCUACCCCCCUGAGGUACUAGCAAGUGCACUUUCCCAAACAAGCACCAGUGAGGAUCAGGGUGAGCAAACACUCUAGGAGUCUGAUCUAAGCGGUUAGUCGGUCACAGAAAUGAGGUUGAGUUGAUUUAAAUGAGACUUUUUUUUAUGGCAAGUUUAAUGGGGAUCAAACCAGCAGUUCCAGAGCAUUAGAGUACAUAACGUCAUGGAACAUUUUGAAAAAUAAAUUGAAAACCAUGUUGCAUUAUCUUUUAAUUGUUUAUGUAAUUCUAUUUCGGAAAGUGGGCUAAGGAGUAGAGAUGGAGCUAAUUAUGGCAAAUGUCAACAUGCCACUGUAAGCAGAAGAGUUUGGAAAGUUAAACUGAAAAUAUACUGUCUUAUUGUUUAUUUUCUGCUAUGAUAGACUGUAUGAGAAAACAUUGCAUUGGAAGAUUAACAUAUGUCCUACUGUUAAUGUUAACAGGACAAAUCAAAGAAGAAGAGGAAACGAAAGCACAAGAAACACGGGAGGAAGAAGAAGAGGAAGACCUCAUCUGAUAUCGAGUCUGACUAAAGUGUAGUGUUUGGUUCUUUGUCUAACCAAUAGAGAGUUUCUGCCUUUCGACUACCAAAAACAUUUCAUCCAGCUAGACCCCCAUGUCGGGGCUGGCUGUUGACUCUGGGAAAAGCCUCCUGCUCAUAGUAAUUAAGACAGUUGGGGAUUUGUAAAGUAAUCUAAGGGCUGGGAGUUGCAGAUCAUCCAACCCUCUCAGUGACAAUGUUGCAUUGUUUUUUUUUUAGCAGAUAGAAUAAUCGACCCAUAUAGAGGUUAACAGUGAAACACCUUAAAUCGUGUCAAGUGUGACUGAACUGAAAAAUGUCCAUACGAAACACGAACAAACUUUCAUAGAUGGAUACUGAUCAACAGUAUCUAUACCCCUGGUAUGCAGGCCUUUGUCUGUUUUAUACCUCUGGGUGGGGGUGGGUGGGGGUGUUUUUUGUAAUACUGCGUCGCUAGCUACAGUGAGGUCAUUUUGUGACUUUGUUAUGCUAGUGCCUAUGUCACAAUGCAUGUGAUCUGAUGUGAUGGCCACUUCUUUUUCCAGCCUCAUAUUGAAGUUGGUAUUGUUAAAAUGAGUUAUAUUGUCCUUUACACGAGGGGCUAAACUGUUCAGUUAUCUUAAAUGAGUUAGUUCUACAUUGAAUAGGUUCUACUCAUGAAUUAUAUCUAUAAAUGAAUGGGAUUUUAUUAUUAAAGUGUUCUUGUUUUAGCCUUGAUAAUAUUUUUGUGAUUUACUGGAUGGAUGAUGAAUGAUUUGCAUGGGAUGAGACAAUGUACAUUAACACUUUGAAUUAUCAUCGGCAAAAAAACAACUGUGGGUGUUGCUAGGAUCACAAAACAUUCAGGGCUUAGCCACCGCCCAGGACAGGAAGUACAGGGUUUUGAAUGUACAUGCGGAAAAUGUAGGCUACAUGCUAGCGGCCUACACCUCUACAUUAUCAUAAUGCGCCAUCGCAAUUCUGGAUUAAUAGAUCUGGGGCUAUUUAAAUAUUUUGGGGGGGUCAAUUAGAGAUCCAGGGCUAUAGACCCAGAAGCCCAAGCCGAACCAUGCUACUGGAUAAUAAUCCUGAUAAUUCAAUAAUUCUUCCCUGUAACGUGAACAAAAUAUAUGUAAAGUCCCAGGUCAAAUUAUACCAUAUAGUUUAUUGCAAAUGUAAACAGAAAUGUUUUCCACAAACAAUUUGACGUUGCCUUGAUUGUCCUGCCCAUCGUCUGCAUCCUUUUCGCUGGCAGCAGAUACUUCUUCAACCUAUAAAUGUCAGCCAGCAUUGGGGAGCCCCAUGUAUACAAGCUGUUUUGUCAAGCCACCUUCCAGUGGUCUGCAAACAUACACCCUUUCAUGUUUGACAAAUUUGAGUAUGAUUGUCACUUUGCGAUGAACAAACCAAAUGCUGACUUUGUGUUAAACAUGUUUGAUGGCGUAGUGUUUGGUUUCUGGGACCAUUGUUACGUACUCUGCAAUGUUUUGGAGGGGGGGGGGGCAAUAUCAAUGAAUACACAGAGUCCGUGACCGGUUUUAUUAGCAAAUGUAUUGAUGACGCUGUACCACGUACAACUACAAAAUCAUUUCCUAAUCAAAAACCGUGGGUCAACAGUGGUAUUCGUGCCAUGCAUAAGGCAUGGACUGCAACAUUCAACUCCGGCAGCAAGGACAAUUAUAUGAAAUCCCGGUAUGAUCUCAGGAAGACAAUAAAAACUGUAAAAAGCCUAUACGGAGUCAAAGUAGAAUCUCUCUACCAGGGCUCCAAUACCAGGAACGUGUGGAGUGGUCUGAGAACCAUUACUGACUAUAAAGGCAAUACAGGCAGUUUGGGGGAAGUGUCGGCUUCUCUCCCAGAGGAACUGAACUCUUUCUAUGCCCACUUUGAGAACAUCAUCCCUGGCAUGGAUACUCAAAUGGACCAGGAUGGCUGGCCUUUACAAAUGACCCGGUCAGACGUCUGUAAAGCCCUAAAAUGGGUCAACACCUGUAAGUCCUCUGCAUGAAUGACCACCGCCCUGUAGCACUCACACCAAUCAUCAUGAAGUGCUUUGAGCACUUAUCUGUUACACUUAACCCGCUGCAGUUUGCCUACAGACAUAACAGAUCCACAGAGGAUGCCAUCGCUCUGACCCUCCACUUCUGAGGGUGAUUAACACAGCAGAGAGCAUCACAAGGUCUGACCUGCCAUCCCUGCAGGAUCUCUACACAGAGAGGAGUAGGAGGAGGAGCAAACGGAUCAUUACAGAUCCCAGCCACCCAUGCCACGGACUGUUUACCAAGCUGCCAUCAGGCAGAAGGUACAGGAGUGUUUUGUCCAAAACUAACAGGCUACAGGACUGCUUCUUUCCUCAGGUUGUAAGGCUGCUCAAUUCGGGAACCCCUCUUCCCUUCCAUCCAUAGUCCCAUGCACACCUGUCACUUUAUAUCAUGCUCAUCUGCCAAUUAUAUCAUGCACACCUGUCACUUUAUAUCAUGCUCAUCUGCCAAUUAUAUCAUGCACGCCUGUCACUUUUACAUUGCACUACGGUUGUACAGUUGUAUAGUUAGGAUUAUUGAUGAGUGUUUUUGUAUAGGGUUAUUAUUGAUUGAUUGUGUUAUCUUCUUUAUUUUUAUAUUAUAAUUACUGUUACUUUUUAACUUUAAACUGCACUGUCGAGAGUAGGAAAACCAAGCAUUUCAUUCCC